GCAUGCUGGAAUCAAAGGGCUUUCUAGGAAGACGCCAGAACUUAUUUUAGCCAGAGGCACCUUCCCUGCUUCUAACUCAUGCACUGGCUGUCUGAGCACUGUUUCUAAGCUCUGCAUGCAGUUUCAUUUCAUACCACCACAAGCCUAAAGGCAAGGCAGGAUUUAUUUCUAAAAAGGGGUAUUAUUUCAGUAUAAGAGUUACAGAUAUUGGGGGAAACAUACAAAGCACAAAUUUCUCAUUAUUCUUAUAGGCUGGAGAGACAACAAUCCAAUUCUACCUUUAUAUGGCAGGUUCAUUGCAGUACCUGCUUCACAGGAUUCUGGAACGCUGCUCGAAGGAACCAACUAAAGGAAAGUAAAAGAGUAAAGUGGUACAGUGAAGCUGGUCAGCGACUGGAGAAAGAGCUGAUGUUUCCGGUUCAAUUCACUUUUCAAAGCACGGGUGCCCACUACCUGUCACUGUGUGAAGAGAAGACAUCUAGACUCUCACCAGCAAGACAUCUGACAAACACAGGGGACUUUACCAGAGGGACAGGUAUUAUCCUUCUUUCCAUCACCCAUCACAGCUACACAACGAAAAAUACAGGUCAGCAGUCGGCACCCUUACUGGCUGCUAGAGGGGCCACUCAGGCCAAACAACAGGAAGGCACAGGAGAGUCACCAGAGCCAAAGGACGCAGAGGGUGAGAGCCGCAUAACGCCCGUGCAUAUCAGCAGUUAAUAAGCAAGAUGGGCUAAAACGGGUUGUAACUGAAUAGGACAAUGGCAGCACACUAGCGAUGAGUGAGGACAGAAGAAAAGAGAGAAGGCGGUUUCUGUGGGGGCUCAGGGUCUGCCACCCACAAGUCCCUCUAGAAUUACCAGAAUACAGGCCUUGAAUCUAUACAGUCCAGGCUGCCUCCUUCAUGAAAUAUUUUUAGUCUCUUUUCUAUUUCAACCUUAUGAAAGACUGUGUGUUGACACAUCCAGAAACAAAAAUUAAUCUGACUGGCUUUAAGAGAAGCAAAUCAGCAGGCCCCGAAUAAAUACAAUAAGCAGCGCUUCACUUUUCAUUAGUGUUCUAUAACCUCGUCGGGGGAACAGUCUUUACAAGAGAAGACAUCACGUAUCGGUUCUAAAAUACAGGCUUCUAUAUGCAGACGUUUAUUUUUCUCUGACAGUGGUGGAGACAUGAUUUUUUCGUUGGUUUAUUUUUGUUUAUUGUUGCUGGCCAGUAGAAGUAGGGUGACGAAUUUAAAGAAAAAUGUGAAAUAAAAAUUAAAGCCAUGAAUAAAAAUGGAGUCCAACUUUCCUAAGAUUCGUAUAUGCCUUUUAUAUACAUAUAUAUUCUCACUGUAAGGGUAUUAUGAUACAUACUAAUGGAGGGAAAUAAAAAAAUUACAAAAGGCAUCAAGUGUG